AGCGUAGGCGGUUUAUUAAGUCUAUGGGUGAAAGUUCGGGGCUCAACCCCGUGAUGCCAUAGAAACUGGUAGACUUGAGUACAAGAGAGGUUAGUGGAAUUCCAUGUGUAGCGGUAAAAUGCGUAGACAUAUGGAGGAACACCAGUGGCGAAGGCGGCUAACUGGCUUGUAACUGACGCUGAGGCUCGAAAGCGUGGGGAGCGAAUA
rnacentral:rRNA from 1 species